CCUACGGGAGGCAGCAGUAGGGAAACACCACAAUGGGCGCAAGCCUGAUGGAGCAACACCGCGUGAGUGAAGAAGGGUUUCGGCUCGUAAAACUCUGUUGUUGGAGAAGAACGUGCGUGAGAGCAACUGUUCAUGCAGUGACGGUAUCCAACCAGAAAGUCACGGCUAACUACGUGCCAGCAGCCGCGGUAAU
rnacentral:rRNA from 1 species